rnacentral:tRNA from 1 species
GCCGGGAUGGCGGAAUUGGCAGACGCGCUAGGUUCAGGGUCUAGUAGGCGCAGGCCUGUGGGGGUUCAAAUCCCCCUCCCGGCACCA